UCAGAACACUACUGUGCCCUACCUACAGCAUCCACGUGGUCGCCCGAGUAAAGGAAAGCAGACAAAGUGGACCCCUAGUGAAUCCCUGGGACCACCCGAAGGCGCGUGCCCUCAGCUCUACGGUUCGACACGGUUCGACACACUCCAUGCCGAAUACUUUGAACUUUGGUCCAAAGUUUCGGUCAACUACUCCCACGCAAAAUGGCGAAACAAUUUGAACACACUCUGAAUGGUCCAACUGAAUCUUAACCACCAACCCACUCCCCUCCGACCCCAGCGUCAGAGAUGGCUACCGCUGAGGCACCGCGAAGAAGCAUUUCCAGGGCCUGGAGAUGGUGAUCCAGGCCCCUGGAGAGAGAGAGAGACGAGCAGGACAGAAUGGACAGAGGUCAUUUUCCAGGGAUGCUGAACCCUGCACAAGGUGGAAGUUACUGAGCAAGUGAGUUGGAUGAGUGGGGCUAAGUGCUGAGGCUGUUGUACACCAGCAGCAUGGCUCAAGAGGGCCCUGCAGACGAGCCAGGUGUUGGAGAAGCUGAAGAUAACUGGAUGGCCUGGCCCAAGGACUUGGAAAACCCAGAAUGGUGCUCAAUGGGAAGCCGACUCACCCUCUGGCUCUGCAGAGAGUGGCCCCACUGCGCAAGAACAGCUGGAGCCGAAAAGGAUGAACCUUAUGAGGUGAGAAGCUGGGUCCGGAGACCCCAGUCUCACCUCGGGGAGAAAAGAAAAGAUGUACCUACCUUCCCGACCACUACGAACUUUCUACAGCUCCGCGCCUCAGCUUGCGUCUCAUCCAUCUGAAAGAUCUUACAUGAGAAAAGCAGGUGCAUCAGCCAGAAUAUCAUGGCUAGGGGGCGGCCAGAGACCACUAGAUCGUGGUAUUGGUCUCCGCAGCCCCGGAAAACCUGAUGAAUUAGAAGACUUUGAAGAUGCCUGCUGCUUGGUGACAGAACGGAGUGUUUGAAUGGCAGCCGUGAGACAAUCCAGCAUCUUUGGAGCCUUGCCACCACGGUGUGCGAUGUGGAGCCUCACAAAGGCCCCUUUGAGAUUGGAAACCUGCUCCGCUUCAGUCUCUUGUAUGUGGAGCACAACCUUCAAUCCUGAAGGGAAGGUUUGCUAAGCAGGAGAGCUCUGGGAAGCUCUGUCUCCUGAGGACUAGGAUUGAAGCCAGGUCCACACGUGAGUGCUCUACCACUGAUCUACACUGGCAGCCCCCCUUUUUAUUUAUUUUGAGACAAGAUCUCACCGAGUUGCCCAUACUGGCUUCAAACUUGGAACCCUCAUGCCUUAGACUCUUGAGUAAUGGGUAUUAUAGGCAUGAACCACUGUGCCCAGUCUGGAGGGUGUCUUGGUUGUUAAUCACCUCUGUAAGAAUGAGUUCUGGGGCCCAAACACCCAGCUUUAUGAGUUGUUAACACCAUGCCUCUCUGGUAUAUGGCACAGUAUCUGCUUAAUAAACUUGUGAAGAAAGAU